rnacentral:rRNA from 1 species
GAUGAACGCUGGCGGCGUGCUUAACACAUGCAAGUCGAACGGAAAGGCUCCUGCUUGCAGGGGUACUCGAGUGGCGAACGGGUGAGUAACACGUGGGUGAUCUGCCCUGCACUUCGGGAUAAGCCUGGGAAACUGGGUCUAAUACCGGAUAGGACGAUGGUUUGGAUGCCAUUGUGGAAAGUUUUUUCGGUGUGGGAUGAGCUCGCGGCCUAUCAGCUUGUUGGUGGGGUAAUGGCCUACCAAGGCGUCGACGGGUAGCCGGCCUGAGAGGGUGUACGGCCACAUUGGGACUGAGAUACGGCCCAGACUCGUACGGGAGGCAGCAGUGGGGAAUAUUGCACAAUGGGCGCAAGCCUGAUGCAGCGACGCCGCGUGGGGGAUGACGGCCUUCGGGUUGUAAACUCCUUUCGCUAGGGACGAAGCGCAAGUGACGGUACCUGGAGAAGAAGCACCGGCUAACUACGUG